rnacentral:rRNA from 1 species
GAUGAACGCUAGCGGCAGGCCUAAUACAUGCAAGUCGAACGGGAUUUGUGGUAGAGCUUGCUCUACUGCAAUGAGAGUGGCGCACGGGUGCGUAACGCGUGAGCAACCUGCCCAUGUCAGGGGUAUAGCCCGUUGAAAGACGGAUUAACACCGCAUAACACAUUACAUUCGCAUGUUUGUGAUGUCAAAUAUUUAUAGGACAUGGAUGGGCUCGCGUGACAUUAGCUAGUUGGUGCGGUAACGGCGCACCAAGGCUACGAUGUCUAGGGGCUCUGAGAGGAGGAUCCCCCACACUGGUACUGAGACACGGACCAGACUCCUACGGGAGACAGCAGUAAGGAAUAUUGGUCAAUGGGCGGAAGCCUGAACCAGCCAUGCCGCGUGCAGGACGAAUGCCCUACGGGUAGUAAACUGCUUUUGCGCGGGAACAAACGCAACUACGAGUAGUUGCCUGAGCGUACCGCGAGAAUAAGGAUCGGCUAACUCCGUGCCAGCAGCCGCCGUAACAC